GACGAACGCUGGCGGCGUGCUUAACACAUGCAAGUCGAACGGAAAGGCCCUGCUUUUGUGGGGUGCUCGAGUGGCGAACGGGGGAGUAACACGUGAGUAACCUGCCCUUGACUUUGGGAUAACUUCAGGAAACUGGGGCUAAUACCGUAUAGGAUCUCCUGCUGCAUGGUGGGGGUUGGAAAGUUUCGGCGGGUGGGGAUGGACUCGCGGCUUAUGAGCUUGUUGGUGGGGUAGUGGCUUACCAAGGCUUUGACGGGUAGCCGGCCUGGGAGGGUGACCGGCCACAUUGGGACUGAGAUACGGACCAGACUCCUACGGGAGGCAGCAGUGGGGAAUCUUGCACAAUGGGCGGAAGCCUGAUGCAGCAGCGCCGCGUGCGGGAUGACGGCCUUCGGGUUGUAAACCGCUUUCGCCUGUGACGAAGCGUGAGUGACGGUAAUGGGUAAAGAAGCACCGGCUAACUACGUG
rnacentral:rRNA from 1 species